UCAGAGCCCUCCCGCUCCACCCUGUCCUACACCGUCCAGAGGGUGCCUCUGGACCAGUCACCUCCGCUUACAGCCCUCUGCCUUUAUUCCGGUUUCACUCCCGGGAAGUGCGUCCAGUCUCCGCCACCACGGGGCUGCUCUAGAAGACCCGCUGUCGCAGAGCUCGACAGCUAGCCAGUGUCAGAGAGGCUAGCUCGGAGGAUGGCCUUGUGCCAAGAACCCACCUCCAGUAGCCAGCAGGGGGCAGCCUACUUCCAGAUUUGGGUCCUAAUUGCUCCCAUCCUGGCAGUUCCUAUAGAACCCCUUCCAGAGGCUACUGGGACCCCACUGUUUGUAGAGCCUUCCCUCAUCCAUCCAUUCAUCCAUCCAUCCUCCCCUGUACACAAACCCUUCCCGGACAACUUCCCGUUGGCAACAUCCGCUUUGGACCUAGAGAAUUAUCAGGACAAGGUCCCAAUUUCAGAGUCACAAAGAGGGGUCUGUCAAGGCCAGUGUUGGAUCUGGUCAUCUGGACAUUACGCAUACAGGACCUGUUGUUAAAGUCUCUGCUUCUUGGAGUUUCGUUGGACAUCCUAGGAUGAAGGAACACUGCAACCCCUCAGAAGACUCUAUUUACAAAUAAGACAGGGCAGAAAGAUGGCCAGGAACCAGGAAGUGGCUCUCACCAGACACUGACUCGGCCUGCACCUUGAUCUUGGACUUCCCAGUCUCCAGAACUACAAGAAAUAAACUUCUGUUUUUAUAAGCCACCCGAUUGUGAUAUUCACUGACAAAAACAGAAACUGGAACCGGGAAGUGGAGUGUUUCCCUACACACGUACUUAAAUAUAUGGAAGUGGCUUCGAAACUGGGUCAUGGAUAGAGGUGAUAAGUGUUCUGAAAUGUCUGCUAGGA